AUACAAAAUUACAUAAAUAAUUAUUUAAAUAUACACGUAGACUUCAAAUAUAUAAAUAUGCAUAUAUAUUUAAAUUCUACGUGCGUAUUUAUGUAAUAUUUUUACGUAAUUAAGUAAUUGCAAUUUGAGGAACCUGCCUGCCAACCCAGGGCGAAAGUCCAGAGAAUUUAAUUUGCUAGAACUGUAUUUUACCCUGUAACUUUCUAUGACACCCUAAAACCUGUACAUGGGGGGUACCGUUUUACUCGGGAGACUUCGCUGAACACAAAUAUUAGUGAUUCAAAACAGUAAAACGUAUCACAGCGAUGAUAUUGUGAGUGAAAGUGACUUUCUUUGCAUUUUUCAAACACAAACAGCACUUUUACUGAUGAUAUAAUUGUUGUGAUACGUUUUCCUGUUUUGAAACUCUAAUAUUUGUGUUCAGCAAAGUCUCCUGAGUAUAACAGUACCCCCCAUGUACAGAUUGUAUAGUGUUUUUGAAAGUUGCAGGGUCAAAUAUAUGGGUCAAAUUUUUACAUUGAAAAUGGCCAGGUUGGUUACGUUGCCUUUGAGAGCGUAUGGUAGCCCAGGAAUGAGAAUUACCCCCAUGAUGGCAUACCAUUUGCAAAAGAAGACAACCCAAGGUAUUGCAAAUGGGGUAUGUCCAGUCUUUUUUAGUAGCCACUUAGUCACAAACACUGGCCAAAAUUAGCAUUCAAUUUAGUUUUUUACUUUUUUCACACACAUACAAAUAUGAACGCUAACUUUGGCCAGUGUUUGCCACUAGGUGGCUACUAAAAAAACUGGACAUACCCCAUAUUGAAUACCCUGGGUUGUCUACUUUAAAAAAAAUAUGUACAUGUGGAGUGUUAUUCAGAGAUGUAUGACAGAUAAUAGUGUUACAAUGUCACUAUUGAUACAUUUGAAAAAAUGUAUGUUUUGAAACCGCAAUAUCCUACAUAUACCUAUAGCCCUAUAACUUGCAAAAAAAAAGCAUGUAAAAGCUGGGUAUUUUAAAACUCAGGACAAAAAUUUGAAUCUAUUUAGCUGUUUUUUUUAUUCGCUUUUGUAGAUGAGUAAAAGUUUUUCAAGUAAGUCAAAACACAUGUAUUUUUUUUUAAUUUUUCAUUAUUUUUUUAAAAUGAAAUUACAUGAGAUUAUAUAAAUAAUGGUAUGUAAAGAAAGCCUUUUUUGUCCUGAAAAAACAAUAUAUCAUUUGUAUAGGAACAGUAAAUGAGAGAGCGGAAAAUUACAGCUAAACACAAACACCACAAAAGUGUAAAAAGAGGCCUGGUCACAAAUGUACAACAUCGCAAAAACAGUCCAGUCUUUAAGGGGUUAAAGGAACAAUACCCAUGAUUGUAAAUAGGGACAAUGACCUAAUCUUAUACCUGCAUAAAUAAAUUAUUCUCUGUAUAAAAAUAUUUUAUUAAAUGGCUUCUUUAUCUUGAGUUACUAGUUACCUCUCUUAUUUUGAUUUUAUCCUUUAUUCCACACUAAUAGCCAGAAAAGUGUUAUACAGAGAAAUUGUUCUAAAAGUGUUUUCUCAGGUUAUAUGUAACCGAUCCAUCAAUUAGAAGAGGACUUAUUACAUUAUAUAAGGGUAAUCUUCCCUCUAUAUUUUUCCCAUCUAAUGUAAUAUUUGCAUAUAGCUGUGGAGAGAGACCCCUUACAUUUAUACACAUUACUAAAUAUAAUAGUCAACAUAAAAAAAGAAGAAAAUCCAUGCACCAUAGUAAAAAGUAGAAAGCUUAGGUAGGGAAGCUAUAGCUAUUCAAUCCAAAAAACACGAUAGGUCUAUAUCUAGAUUUAACCCCCUAGGUUGCAAAGUUUUUAACGUAUUGAUCCAAUUCGUUUCACGUUGUGCUAGCUUUUUGAUUAUAUUUCC
rnacentral:lncRNA from 1 species